CCUACGGGAGGCAGCAGUGGGGAAUAUUGGGCAAUGGGCGCAAGCCUGACCCAGCAACGCCGCGUGAAGGAAGAAGGCCCUCGGGUUGUACACUUCUUUUAUCAAGGACGAAACAAAUGACGGUACUUGAUGAAUAAGCCACGGCUAACUACGUGCCAGCAGCCGCGGUAAUACGGAGGAUGCGAGCGUUAUCCGGAUUUAUUGGGUUUAAAGGGUGCGCAGGCGGAGGUGCAAGUCAGUGGUCAAAUUGCGGGGCUCAACCCCGUCCUGCCGUUGAAACUGCAGCCCUGGAGUGCGCGAGAAGUAGGCGGAAUGCGUGGUGUAGCGGUGAAAUGCAUAGAUAUCACGCAGAACUCCGAUUGCGAAGGCAGCAUACCGGCGCGCAACUGACGCUCAUGCACGAAAGCGUGGGUAUCGAACAGGAUUAGAUACCCUGGUAGUC
rnacentral:rRNA from 1 species